rnacentral:rRNA from 1 species
GACGAACGCUGGCGGCGUGCUUAACACAUGCAAGUGGAGCGACGAACCCGAGCUUGCUCGGGGGCAGAGCCGCGAACGGGUGAGUAACACGUGGGUAACCUGCCCUGUUGAUUGGGACAACCCCGGGAAACCGGGGCUAAUACCAAAUGUGCUCCUGGAACAUCAGUUCCUUGAGGAAAGGAGGCUUCGGCUUCCGCAACGGGAUGGGCCCGCGGCCCAUUAGCUUGUUGGUUGGGGUAACGGCCCACCAAGGCUUCGAUGGGUAGCUGGUCUGAGAGGACGAUCAGCCACACUGGGACUGAGACACGGCCCAGACUCCUACGGGAGGCUG